rfam:Valsa mali strain 03-8 chromosome 8, whole genome shotgun sequence.
GCCCGUUUAGCUCAUCGGUAGAGCGCGUCACUAGUACUUGUACAGUGAUGACGAGGUGACUGGUUCGAUUCCAGUAAUGGGCA